rnacentral:rRNA from 1 species
AAGUAUUCCACCUGGGGAGUACGCCGGCAACGGUGAAACUCAAAGGAAUUGACGGGGGCCCGCACAAGCGGAGGAACAUGUGGUUUAAUUCGAUGAUACGCGAGGAACCUUACCCGGGCUUAAAUUGCAGAUGAAUUACGGUGAAAGCCGUAAGCCGCAAGGCAUCUGUGAAGGUGCUGCAUGGUUGUCGUCAGCUCGUGCCGUGAGGUGUCGGCUUAAGUGCCAUAACGAGCGCAACCCUUGUUGUCAGUUACUAACAGGUUCCGCUGAGGACUCUGACAAGACUGCCAUCGUAAGAUGUGAGGAAGGUGGGGAUGACGUCAAAUCAGCACGGCCCUUACGUCCGGGGCUACACACGUGUUACAAUGGGGGGUACAGAAGGCCGCUACCACGCGAGUGGAUGCCAAUCCCCAAAACCUCUCUCAGUUCGGACUGGAGUCUGCAACCCGACUCCACGAAGCUGGAUUCGCUAGUAAUCGCGCAUCAGCCACGGCGCGGUGAAUACGUUCCCGGGCCUUGUACACACCGCCCGUCAAGCCAUGGGAGCCGGGGGUACCUGAAGUGCGUAACCGCGAGGAGCGCCCUAGGGUAAAACUGGUGACUGGGGCUAAGUCGUAACAAGGUAGCCGUACCGGAAGGUGCGGCUGGAACACCUCCUUUCUGGAG